rnacentral:rRNA from 1 species
CAGCAGCCGCGGGAAUACGGAGGGGGCUAGCGUUGUUCGGAAUUACUGGGCGUAAAGCGCACGUAGGCGGUUUUGUAAGUCAGAGGUGAAAGCCCGGAGCUCAACUCCGGAACUGCCUUUGAGACUGCAUCACUUGAACGUCGGAGAGGUGAGUGGAAUUCCGAGUGUAGAGGUGAAAUUCGUAGAUAUUCGGAAGAACACCAGUGGCGAAGGCGGCUCACUGGACGACUGUUGACGCUGAGGUACGAAAGCGUGGGGAGCAAACAGGAUUAGAUACCCCCGUAGUCCCUGUCUCUUAUAC